rnacentral:rRNA from 1 species
GACAGAGGGUGCAAACGUUGUUCGGAAUUACUAGGCGUAAAGCGCGUGUAGGCUGCUUCGCAAGUCGGAUGUGAAAGCCCUGGGCUCAACCCAGGAAGUGCAUUCGAAACUGCAGAGCUGGAGUCCUGGAGAGGAAGGCGGAAUUCUCGGUGUAGAGGUGAAAUUCGUAGAUAUCGAGAGGAACACCGGUGGCGAAGGCGGCCUUCUGGACAGUGACUGACGCUGAGGCACGAAGGCCAGGGGAGCAAACGGG